CAUAAGAAUUUCUCUUCUGUUCAGUUCUGUUCAUCUGUUGUGGCCUGUGGUCUCGUAUAAAAGUCGAUACUUACAUAUACGGUAUAUUGGUAUAUAGCAAUAUAGUGACCUGACCAAUGGUGGCAAUGGUGUCUAUUGUUUAGCGGUUACGUCGAAUUUCUUUUUUUUAUAUAUUUAUAACAUUGAAAAAACGUGAAAUCUAGCAUAAUUAUGAAAAUUCGAUUGAAGAAUUUCCGACGCAACUAAACAUUCUGAUGCCACAUAGUUGGUACAUGACAUGUAAAAUUUUGAAAAAUAAUAUACACUGUAUAUACGUACAUACAGUACCUUCAGAAACGGGAAACGGGAAGAUUGGGGAUUUAAAAAUUUGGCCAAGUUAAGAGAAAUGGAAAGCAUUAAGAUGGACAGCGGGACAGAUAUAAACGAAUCGGAAACUCAGCAAAGUAACAUCGAAGAGAAGAAGGAAAAUUGCCUGACAAAUAUUACUACUCUAGACAUUAAAUCUCGACUUAGUCUGAAAACGAUUCAAGUGUACGAAGAGCCGCAUACAAAUGGAAUACCACCUCGACAAGGUCAUUUAAACCAACACGACGAGGCAGAAACAUUGUCAUUGGAACAUAAAAGCGGUAACAUACAAUACGUUAGUUACACAAGCGAACUGCAAAUGCCUAACAUUAUGCACUUAAUACAAAAGGAUUUAAGCGAACCUUAUUCCAUUUACACGUAUAGAUAUUUUAUUCACAAUUGGCCAAAAUUGUGCUUCUUGGCAAUGCAUGGUGACGAGUGUGUCGGUGCCAUUGUUUGCAAGCUGGAUAUUCAUAGAAAGGUGAUAAAACGUGGAUAUAUUGCAAUGUUAGCCGUUGAUGUGAAAUAUCGAAAGCGAAAGGUCGGAUCAAAUUUGGUAAGACGAGCGAUUCAAGCAAUGAUGGAAGAUAAUGCGGAUGAAGUAGUUCUGGAAACGGAAAUUACUAAUCGGCCGGCGCUACGUUUAUAUGAAAAUCUAGGCUUUGUACGCGAUAAACGUUUGUUUCGGUAUUAUUUGAACGGUGUAGAUGCUCUGAGGUUAAAAUUAUGGCUCAGAUGAAAUUUAUCUGUAUAUAUGUAUACAUAUACAUAUUUUAUAUAAUUCAAAUAUCAAAGAGAAGAAAUAAUAUUUAUCUUCCAUAACGUCGAAGGAUACGUAAUGUUAAUGCCAAAGAAGUUGUCGAUUGUAUGGAUGCAAGGAUUUUUAUUUCGAACGAAGGUAACACUUUACAUCGUGUAUCGGGUAUCGUUUAAUGUUAUGCAAUGUUAAAGUUGACAAUUAAUUUUCUUGCCACAAUAUGGCGUUGCAUCGUUCGUCGCUGAUACGUAAACAUGAUAGAGUGUUAAUGACGUAUGGUUGAUAACGUAUGGUUCUUGAUCUUACCGGCACGACUAGUUAAUUAUUUCCAAAGUAGAUAUAUUCUCUUUGGCAUUAACAUUUAUUGGGAUAGAUCACACUUGUGGUCUAAGAGUAUAAAAUUGAAAAGUGAUAGUGGAAAGAAGAUCGAUACUGCGAAAGGACGGUUGUCGCAAAUGAUAAUUGUAUUAUUUCAUGUCUUACAUUACAAGAAUGUGUACAUGCAUCGAUACCAUUGAAAUAACAAAUGUAAAAUUAAUUUUCAAUCGAUGUCUACGGCAUACGUAAAAUUGGCAAGUAUGCCGGUGAAAUUCAAAUUAAGCUCCUGGUGUUCUGAAUUACGAUAAAUGUACUAUAUACCACCAUUUGGUGGAGCGAUGAAGACGGCGGACACAUUAUAAAUUGUAAAUUGUAAUGCAGGGAUCGGCACUCUUGCUCCAUGAAGCAAGUGGGCUUCUCCCCACUGCGAUAGCUCUGUCAAGUCCUAGGAAGAGAGAAAGAGAGUGUGGGGGUUGUUGCGUAGAUGAGGAGUGGGGGAAGCUGAACGCUAUGUUCUUCUAGAACGGCGAUCUGUCGAUUUUCCGCAGCCUGCAUUAGAAGAUUAUAACUUAUAACUAUACGUACACGCAGGUUCGUGUAUCAGUUUAUCGUCUCCGUUACUCCAGCAUUUGCUUCAUUUGGCGACAUGGUAACAUUCGUCGUAAUUACCAAAACACAAUUAUGUCUAUGAAUUUUGAUAGAAACAAGAUAGUCGUUUAAUCAGGUAAAAUUGGUCUGUUUACAAUGAACCGGGGUGGACUGUAAAUAUGAGCUUAGCUUGGAAUAGCCUGAUGUAUAGGUAUGUAUAAAUGUAUCGUUUUACGUUUGUGUAUGCGUGGCGAAGAGGGAAACGAAAUAAUAACUGGAUAUAAUAUAUGUAAGUCGAUUGUGUCGGGUUCUGCAUCUUUACGAACAUACGUAACAUGGAGUGUAAAGGAAAAAAUGAUGAUUGGUGAUUAGCCAAAUGAAAAUAUUCCGAGAAAGCAAAUUUGAUGGAAAAAUGCGAGUGUAAAUGAUGGUCAUAAAAUGAAAAUGGCACAAUUCGAUUGUGUUCGAUCAUGCUCUCGGUCAUUCCAACUGUCACUCGAUAAACGUUUCUCGUAAGAUGGACUCGAAUCGAAUUACCGCAAUCAUUUGCCAACAUAAUGAGAAGUUAUUGCGGAAUUGUAAUCGGAGACGAGCGAAAGGGGAGAAAGAAAUUGCCCUCGAGAAUAGUCAACGAUCGAAUCGAGGCCGAGACGACGAUCCAUUCUUAGCUUUUAUCAAUUGCUUUUCAAUGUUUUUAACCAUAGUGACGAAUGAACGCAAAAGCUGUUGUUGCGAUAGUUUCCAAUGACAGCGCUAAUAGUUUCAAUUCCAAGACUCGUUCUCAUGGUAAGCGUAGAGUUGCUUCUGUAACAUCAGAGAUGAGUUAUCGUCAAAGAUGAACGUUC